GCCUAACACAUGCAAGUCGAACGGAACUUCUUCGACAGAAUUCUUCGUAAGGAAGUUGAUUAAGUUUAGUGGCGGUCGGGUGAGUAACGCGUGAGUAACCUGCCUUUGAGAGGGGAAUAACUUCCCGAAAGGGAUGCUAAUACCGCAUGACGCAUAUUUAUCGCAUGGUAGAUAUGCCAAAGAUUUAUCGCUCAAAGAUGGACUCGCGUCCGAUUAGCCAGUUGGCGGGGUAACGGCCCACCAAAGCGACGAUCGGUAGCCGGACUGAGAGGUUGAACGGCCACAUUGGGACUGAGACACGGCCCAGACUCCUACGGGAGGCAGCAGUGGGGGAUAUUGCGCAAUGGGGGAAACCCUGACGCAGCAACGCCGCGUGAAGGAUGAAGGUUUUCGGAUUGUAAACUUCUUUUAUUUAGGACGAACAAUGACGGUACUAAAUGAAUAAGCUCCGGCUAACUACGUGCCAGCCGCCGCAGUAA
rnacentral:rRNA from 1 species